AAGUCGUAACAAGGUAACCGUAGGUGAACCUGCGGUUGGAUCAUUAUUGAAUAAUUUUAAUCCUAAACUAUUCCCUAUUCUCUUUGAGGUCAAAGCUUUGUUUUCUUUAUUGAAGCAAGGCCUCCUCUUAGAAGGGAACACACCUUUAAAAAAACACCUUUUUUUAACAGUAUUUUGGGGAAAGAGAAAUUGAAAAAUUCUUUUUCUUUCUUUCCCCAAAUAAAUACCUUAUCAAAAACAUUUUGUUUCUCUUUUUUUAUUUUUUGUCAUAAUAGACAAUAUAAACAAAAAAAACAACUUUUGACAACGGAUCUCUUGGCUCUC
rnacentral:misc_RNA from 1 species